rnacentral:rRNA from 1 species
CCUACGGGUGGCAGCAGUGAGGACUAUUUGUCAAUGGGCGCGAGCCUGAACCAGCCAAGUAGCGUGAAGGAUGACGGCCCUACGGGUUGUAAACUUCUUUUAUAAAGGAAUAAAGUGCGGCCCGUGUGCCUUUUUGUAUGUACUUUAUGAAUAAGGAUCGGCUAACUCCAUGCCAGCAGCCGCGUGAAUACUGAGGAUCCGAGCGUUAUCCGGAGUUAUUGGGUUUAAAGGGAGCGUAGAUGGGUUGUUAAGUCAGUGGUGAAAGGUUGCGGCUCAACCGUAAAAUGUCAAUUGAUACUGGCAGUCUUAAGGACAGUUGAGGUAGGCGGAAUUCGGGGUGUAGCGGUGAAAU